UACGGAGGAUGCGAGCGUUAUCCGGAUUUAUUGGGUUUAAAGGGUGCGUAGGCGGUCUUUUAAGUCAGCGGUAAAAAUUCGGGGCUCAACCCCGUCCGGCCGUUGAAACUGGGGGCCUUGAGUGGGCGAGAAGAAGGCGGAAUGCGUGGUGUAGCGGUGAAAUGCAUAGAUAUCACGCAGAACCCCGAUUGCGAAGGCAGCCUUCCGGCGCCCUACUGACGCUGAGGCACGAAAGUGCGGGGAUCGAACAGG
rnacentral:rRNA from 1 species